UCCUGAGGAAUCGGGAGGGGGUAGACCACGCUGACCACUCUGUUUACCCUCCGGCACAGUACAUCUGCACCCUCUCAACAGCGGGAGUGGGCUCGUCUGGCUCCUGCCAGGGGGUUCUGCCUUCUGCCCCUCCCAACACUGGAACUCGGCCACCCAGGGACACCCAAACGCGGCCCUCACCUUAGAGCCGCCGGCAAUAAGAACCGUUUCUAUAAACCGUGGCUUCCGGGUGGCGCGGGAGAAUGACGUAUGACAAGGGCGCUGGCCAACCAAAUAGUCAGGUGGGGAAGGCGGUUCUAAAGGGCUGAACGCGGAGGAGAGAAGGGCGGGGCUUCAGGGAAUCCGAAGAGAGUACGCGCGACCGCAGAGCGUGGGAACAGGGAGACGUGCGGAGCCUCUGGGGACCAGCUUCCUACCCACAGGGAAGGAAGAGCAAGAAAUGACUGAGGCCCAGCUGAGUUAGAGCUUAUGUAUUCAUUUACUCCCUAUUUUAUUUUCCACUGGAUACUUGGAACCUGGUAAGAAUACAUCUCAUAAAAUUGAAAAAUAAAGGGAGGAUCACAAAAAACACAAACAGAUAGAAAAUUGACAUCAAGGAAAAUUGGGAUGUUGGUAUGAAAUUCACUUGUGUGCUUGUGAAUUUGUCUCUGAUCUUUCUACAACAAUAGCAAAAGGGGAAAUGGAGUCAGUUACAUUAUUUGUAUCGUCCACGAGGAAAACAUGCCAGUUCAUCAGCAGAAGGAAAUAUUUCAUGCCAUUCUCCAGGAAACAAUAAAAUUAGAACUCUCCCUUACUUCCUACACUAAAAUAAAUGCCAGGUGGAUUAAAGAUUUAAAUAUAAAAAUGGAACCAUCAGUGCGUGAGAAGGAAAAAAUGGUAAAGUAUUUAUUAUCUUAGACUGAAAUCCUUUGUAGUGAUGCCAUAAAAUUCUGAAGUCGUGAAAGUAUUGAUACACUGUGUUCAUAAAAUUACUGGAUGCUCCAUUAACCUUAAAAACCUUAAAGCCAAAUGGCAAGUUGCAAAGAAAAAUUUGCAACAGAUGCAAUCAAUAACGUGCUCCUGCAAAUCAAUAUAAAAGCCCACCAGUUUAAAAGAAACAGGACAGAGACAAUUCAUAGAUACGCAGAUCACUUCUAAAUAUGUGACAAUAUGUUCAUCCUCAGUCAUAGUGAAAUGCCAAAGAAAACCUGUGAAAUGCUGUUUUUCAUGUAUCAAGUUGGAAAAGACCAGAAGGAUAUGUAAUACACUGUUGGUGUCACAGGAAGAAGAUACUGACAUGGAAUUAGAAGUGCAAGUGUAUUGGGCACCUGUGAAAGCAAAGUGGGGAAGCAGGAUUGAGCAGUGGGAGCUUCAGACCAUGAUGUCAACCUGACAGACUUGCCGCUAGCCCAACAUAGAGCUCCAGAGCAAAGAUUCACUGUUAGAGGAGUCCCACCUAGCCCUUUGAACCCCCUCAUUGCUCAGUCAUAGGCUGGAGACAGCCCUGAGAAUAGCAGGCCCUUAGUGCUAAAGCUGAGAUGAAGCCCAGCAGAGCUAACUGGAGUCUCUCAAGUAACCACACUUCUUACAGCCGGGCAAUGAGUCCUUUCUAGAAGAGGAAUCAGAGAGGCUCAUCUCCAUUUGGCUGGAGUUGACAGAAUCCAGUCCAGGUACCAUUCAGGAUUUAGUUGUCAUGUCUCCUCAGUCUCCUGUGGUCUGUGACAGAUUCUCACUCCCUCCUUGUCUUUCAUGAUCUUGACAGCCUUGUGAAGUACUGGCCAGAUGUCCUGUAGAAUGUCCCCCAAUCUGGGUAUGUCUGACGCUUUUCUCUUGAUUAGACUAGAUUAUGAGUAUGAGGAAAGGGAUAACAGUAAGAAGGUGUUUUGGGGUUUUUAUGGGUUGUUUGGGUUUGUUUUUAGAAGUUUUAUUUAUUUAUUUGAUACAACAAAAGAGCAGGAGAGUGCCAGCAGUUGGAGCAGCAGAGGGAGAAGGAGAAGCAGGCCACCCACCGCAGAGAAGGGAGCCCCAUGUGGGACUCGCUCC